AGCUGCUCUUGCUGGGCAGCCUGUGCCCAAAUUCUGCUUACUCUUGAGGUGUGCUGGCAAGUGAUCUAGGCUCAAUUGAAAUCUAAUCUCUGCUGUUUCGCUCCACAGCCUCCCUUCUAGGGAGUAAAGAGAUGGCUCGGCUGUUAAGAAGACUGGCUGCUCUGCUAGAAGUCCCAGGCUUGAUUCCACACGGUGGCUCGCAACCUCUGUGAAUCCAGUUCCAGGGGGCUUGGCAACCUUUUCUGGCCUCUGAAGGAUUGGACCUUCGUCUUUGAUUAUUCGGCAUGUGGUAACUUCCAAUGUGGUCUGGUGACCCUUCGAUCUCAACACGAUAAUGUCUCAGGGUUUAGAAGACGCUUACAUUUAGAAUUAUCCAUUAGCUGGACGAUUCCUGAAAAGAUAAACUUUCCUGCACAAAAUACAGCAGCC